CGCGGCCUAUCAGCUUGUUGGUGGGGUAAUGGCCUACCAAGGCGACGACGGGUAGCCGGCCUGAGAGGGUGAUCGGCCACACUGGGACUGAGACACGGCCCAGACUCCUACGGGAGGCAGCAGUGGGGAAUAUUGCACAAUGGGCGGAAGCCUGAUGCAGCGACGCCGCGUGGGGGAUGACGGUCUUCGGAUUGUAAACCCCUUUCAGUAGGGACGAAGCGAGAGUGACGGUACCUGCAGAAGAAGCACCGGCCAACUACGUGCCAGCAGCCGCGGUAAUACGUAGGGUGCGAGCGUUGUCCGGAAUUACUGGGCGUAAAGAGCUCGUAGGCGGUUUGUCACGUCGUCUGUGAAAUCCUCCAGCUCAACUGGGGGCGUGCAGGCGAUACGGGCUGACUUGAGUACUACAGGGGAGACUGGAAUUCCUGGUGUAGCGGUGAAAUGCGCAGAUAUCAGGAGGAACACCUGCGGCGAAGGCGGCACUCUGGGCCGGAACUGACGCUGAGGAGCGAAAGCAUGGGGAGCAAACAGGAUUAGAUACCCUGGUAGUCCAUGCCGUAAACGUUGGGCACUAGGUAUGGGGUCUUAUCAACGGAUUCCGUGCCGUAGCUAACGCAUUAAGUGCCCCGCCUGGGGAGUACGG
rnacentral:rRNA from 1 species